CCCUCUCCCCCGUGCUUGCCUGCCCCAACCUGGGCCUCCCUGUGAGCCUGACUUAACAGGGGAAUGGUGAGCAGUUCCUUGUGACAUGGUAAUCCAGACCUGCUGACUGACACGCCCCCCAACAGAGGCAACAUCUGGGUCCUCAGGACUCGGGCACCAGGUGGCCCCAAGGAGGAGCUGCUGACCUGGGGGGAACCCGCCUGCAGAGACUGGGGUGGAGGACACAGGCCCUUCCUCUGCCAGGGACUCCAGGUCAUCCAGAGCAGCAUGUCAGAGGAGGCGGGCACGUUCCGCAUGGUCUCUGAAGAGGAACAGGCGCUCCGAACCCAGCUGGACCGGCUUACCACCAAGGACCACGGGCCUGUCUUUGGCCCAUGCAGCCAGCUGCCCCCCCACACCUUGCAGAAGGUGAGGUGGCCCUGGGUGCUGGGAGGGGCACUCUGGGGAGGCAACAAGUUUGGAAUGUGACCGGUGCUACCGUAGAAGUCAGGGCCCUGGCAGCAACAGG